GCCAGACUCCUACGGGAGGCAGCAGUGGGGAAUAUUGGGCAAUGGGCGAAAGCCUGACCCAGCAACGCCGCGUGAAGGAAGAAGGCUUUCGGGUUGUAAACUUCUUUUGACAGGGAAGAGCAGAAGACGGUACCUGUCGAAUAAGCCACGGCUAACUACGUGCCAGCAGCCGCGGUAAUACGUAGGUGGCAAGCGUUGUCCGGAUUUACUGGGUGUAAAGGGAGCGUAGACGGCAAUACAAGUCGGAAGUGAAAUACCCGGGCUCAACCUGGGAACUGCUUUGGAAACUGUAUGGCUAGAGUGCUGGAGAGGUAAGCGGAAUUCCUAGUGUAGCGGUGAAAUGCGUAGAUAUUAGGAGGAACACCAGUGGCGAAGGCGGCCUGCUGGACGAUGACUGACGUUGAGGCUCGAAAGCGUGGGGAGCAAACAGGAUUAGGUACCCCAGUA
rnacentral:rRNA from 1 species